UACGUAGGGGGCAAGCGUUGUCCGGAAUCAUUGGGCGUAAAGAGUGCGUAGGCGGUUCGGCAAGUCUGCUCUGAAAGCCCGGGGCUCAACCCCGGGAGGCGGGCGGAUACUGUCGGGCUAGAGUCCGGAAGAGGCGAGUGGAAUUCCUGGUGUAGCGGUGAAAUGCGCAGAUAUCAGGAGGAACACCAAUGGCGAAGGCAGCUCGCUGGGACGGUACUGACGCUGAGGCACGAAAGCGUGGGGAGCAAACAGG
rnacentral:rRNA from 1 species